GAUAAACGCUAGCGGUGCGCCUAACACAUGCAAGUCGAGCGAUCGAACUGGACUGAUCACCCUUCGGGGUGAGAGGACCAGUGACGGAGCGGCGGACUGGUGAGUAACGCGUAGCCAACCUACCCCCUUGACGGAGAUAACUACCUGAAAGGGUAGCUAAUACCCGAUAUUGCUCGAGAUCGAAAGAUCUUGAGCCAAAGGCGGUCUUGCCGUCGCAAGAGGAGGGGGCUGCGUCCUAUUAGCUUGUUGGUGGGGUAAUAGCCCACCAAGGCGAUGAUGGGUAGCUGGUCUGAGAGGAUGGCCAGCCACAUUGGGACUGAGAUACGGCCCAGACUUCUACGGGAGGCAGCAGUGGGGAAUCUUUCGCAAUGGGCGAAAGCCUGACGGAGCGACACCGCGUGGGGGAUGAAGGCUUUCGGGUUGUAAACCUCUUUUCUGGGGGAAGAAUAAGGGCGGGAGGAAAUGCCCGUCCGAUGACGGUACCCCAGGAAUAAGCAUCGGCUAACUUCGUGCCAGCAGCCGCGGUAAGGCGAAGGAUGCAAGCGUUAUCCGGAAUUACUGGGCGUAAAGGGCGCCUAGGCGGCUGAGUAAGUCACCCGUGAAAGCCCUCAGCUCAACUGAGGAAUGUCGAGUGAAACUGCUCAGCUUGGGUGCAGGAGAGGAGGGUGGAACUCACAGAGUAGCGGUGGAAUGCGUAGAUACUGUGAGGUACCCCGAUGGCGAAGGCAACCCUCUGGCUGCUACUGACGCUGAAGCGCGAAAGCGUGGGGAGCAAAGGGGAUUAGAUACCCCCGUAGUCCACGCCGCAAACGAUGUUCACUGGGUGUCGGUCGCUAAUACAGAUCGGUGCCGGAGCUAACGCGUUAAGUGAACCGCCUGGGGAGUACGGCCGCAAGGCUAAAACUCAAGAGAAUUGACGGGGCCCCGCACAAGCGGUGGAGCACGUGGUUUAAUUCGAUGAUAAGCGAAGAACCUCACCUGGGUUUGACAUGCUAGUGGUAGGAACCGGAAACGGGGACGACCCUUGCCUUCGGGUAAGGGAGCUAGUACAGGUGAUGCAUGGCUGUCGUCAGUUCGUGUCGUGGGACGUUGGGUUAAGUCCCGAAACGAGCGCAACCCCUGUCGUCAGUUGCCAGCGGGUAAAGCCGGGGACUCUGACGAGACUGCCGGUGAAUAGCCGGAGGAAGGAGGGGAUGACGUCAAGUCAUCAUGUCCCUUAUGCCCAGGGCGACACACAUGCUACAAUGGGGGGUACAAAGGGCUGCAAUGCCGUAAGGCUGAGCCAAUCCCAAAAAACCUUCCUCAGUUCGGAUUGAGGUCUGUAACUCGACCUCAUGAAGCCGGAAUCGCUAGUAAUCGCAGGUCAGCCACACUGCGGUGAAUAUGUACUCGGGGCUUGUACACACCGCCCGUCACACCAACCGAGUGGGGGGUACUUGAAGUCGCUCUUUAUAGAGCGCCGAGGGUA
rnacentral:rRNA from 1 species